AUUGAACGCUGGCGGCAUGCCUUACACAUGCAAGUCGAACGGCAGCACGGGUGCUUGCACCUGGUGGCGAGUGGCGAACGGGUGAGUAAUACAUCGGAACGUACCUUAUCGUGGGGGAUAACGCAGCGAAAGCUGUGCUAAUACCGCAUACGCCCUGAGGGGGAAAGCGGGGGAUCGCAAGACCUCGCGCGAUUAGAGCGGCCGAUGCCUGAUUAGCUUGUUGGUGGGGUAAAAGCCCACCAAGGCGACGAUCAGUAGCUGGUCUGAGAGGACGAACAUCCACACUGGGACUGGGACACGGCCCAGACUCCUGCGGGAGGCAGCAGUGGGGAAUUUUGGACAAUGGGGGCAACCCUGAUCCAGCAAUGCCGCGUGAGUGAAGAAGUCCUUCGGGUUGUAAAGCUCUUUUGUCAGGGAAGAAACACCGGCUCUAACACAGUCCGGGAAUGACGGUACCUGAAGAAUAAGCACCGGCUAACUACGUGCCAGCAGCCGCCGUAA
rnacentral:rRNA from 1 species